CCUACGGGAGGCAGCAGUGAGGAAUAUUGGUCAAUGGGCGCGAGCCUGAACCAGCCACGUAGCGUGAAGGAUGACUGCCCUACGGGUUGUAAACUUCUUUUAUAAAGGAAUAAAGUGAGGCACGUGUGACUUUUUGUAUGUACUUUAUGAAUAAGGAUCGGCUAACUCCGUGCCAGUAGCCGCGGUAAUACGGAGGAUUCGAGCGUUAUCCGGAUUCAUUGGGUUUAAAGGUAGCGUAGAUGGGUUGUUAAGUCAGUUGCGAAAGUUUGCGGCUCAACCGUAAAAUUGCAAUUGAUACUGGCAGCCUUGAGUACAGUUGAGGUAGGCGGAAUUCGUGGUGUAGCGGUGAAAUGCUUAGAUAUCACGAAGAACUCCGAUUGCGAAGGCAGCCUACUAAACUGCCACUGACAUUGAUGCUCGAAAGUGUGGGUAUCAAACAGGAUUAGAUACCCUAGUAGUC
rnacentral:rRNA from 1 species